rnacentral:rRNA from 1 species
UCGUAGUGAACUGCGGAAGGAUCAU